rnacentral:rRNA from 1 species
UACGUAAGGGGCAAGCGUUGUCCGGAAUUAUUGGGCGUAAAGAGCUCGUAGGCGGUCAGUCGCGUCUGCUGUGAAAACUCGGGGCUUAACUCCGGGCCUGCAGUGGGUACGGGCUGACUAGAGUGCGGUAGGGGAGACUGGAAUUCCUGGUGUAGCGGUGAAAUGCGCAGAUAUCAGGAGGAACCACGGUGGCGAAGGCGGGUCUCUGGGCCGUAACUGACGCUGAGGAGCGAAAGCGUGGGGAGCGAACAGG